UGCGUAGGCGGCCUAGUAAGUCAGAGGUGAAAGCCCACAGCUUAACUGUGGAAUUGCCUUUGAUACUGCUAAGCUUGAAUUAGGUUGAGGUUGGCGGAAUGUGACAUGUAGCGGUGAAAUGCAUAGAUAUGUCAUAGAACACCAAUUGCGAAGGCAGCUGGCUAGACCUUAAUUGACGCUGAGGCACGAAAGCGUGGGGAGCGAACAGGAUUAGAUACCCCUGGUAGUCC
rnacentral:rRNA from 1 species